GACGAACGCUGGCGGCGUGCUUAACACAUGCAAGUCGAACGGUAAGGCCCUUCGGGGUACACGAGUGGCGAACGGGUGAGUAACACGUGGGUGAUCUGCCCUGCACUUCGGGAUAAGCCUGGGAAACUGGGUCUAAUACCGGAUAGGACUCCGGACUGCAUGGUCUGGGGUGGAAAGCUUUUGCGGUGUGGGAUGGGCCCGCGGCCUAUCAGGUUGUUGGUGGGGUGAUGGCCUACCAAGGCGACGACGGGUAGCCGACCUGAGAGGGUGACCGGCCACACUGGGACUGAGAUACGGCCCAGACUCCUACGGGAGGCAGCAGUGGGGAAUAUUGCACAAUGGGCGCAAGCCUGAUGCAGCGACGCCGCGUGAGGGAUGACGGCCUUCGGGUUGUAAACCUCUUUCAGCAUCGACGAAGCGAAAGUGACGGUAGGUGCAGAAGAAGGACCGGCCAACUACGUGCCAGCAGCCGCGGUAA
rnacentral:rRNA from 1 species